rnacentral:rRNA from 1 species
GACAGAGGGUGCAAACGUUGUUCGGAAUUACUGGGCGUAAAGCGAGUGUAGGCGGUUCGAUAAGUCGGAUGUGAAAGCCCCGGGCUCAACCCGGGAAGUGCAUUCGAUACUGUCGAGCUAGAGUAUCGGAGAGGUUGGUGGAAUUCUCGGUGUAGAGGUGAAAUUCGUAGAUAUCGAGAGGAACACCGGUGGCGAAGGCGGCCAACUGGACGAAUACUGACGCUGAGACUCGAAAGCGUGGGGAGCAAACAGG